rnacentral:rRNA from 1 species
UACGAGGGGUGCAAGCGUUACUCGGAAUUACUGGGCGUAAAGCGUGCGUAGGUGGUUCGUUAAGUCUGAUGUGAAAGCCCUGGGCUCAACCUGGGAAUGGCAUUGGAAACUGGCGACCUAGAGUGCGGUAGAGGGUAGUGGAAUUCCCGGUGUAGCAGUGAAAUGCGUAGAGAUCGGGAGGAACAUCCGUGGCGAAGGCGACUACCUGGACCAGCACUGACACUGAGGCACGAAAGCGUGGGGAGCAAACAGG